UUCCGGUUGAUCCUGCCGGAGGUCAUUGCUAUUGGAGUCCGAUUUAGCCAUGCUAGUUGCACGAGUUUAGACUCGUAGCAGAUAGCUCAGUAACACGUGGCCAAACUGCCCUAUAGACGGCGAUAACCUCGGGAAACUGAGGCUAAUAGCCGAUAUCGUUCACUACCUGGAGUGGUGUGAACGCGAAACGUUCAGGCGCUAUAGGAUGUGGCUGCGGCCGAUUAGGUAGACGGUGGGGUAACGGCCCACCGUGCCCAUAAUCGGUACGGGUUGUGAGAGCAAGAGCCCGGAGACGGUAUCUGAGACAAGAUACCGGGCCCUACGGGGCGCAGCAGGCGCGAAACCUUUACACUGCACGCGAGUGCGAUAAGGGGACUCCGAGUGCGAGGGCAUAUAGUCCUCGCUUUUCACCACCGUAAGGUGGUGGUGGAAUAAGUGCUGGGCAAGACCGGUGCCAGCCGCCGCGGUAACACCGGCAGCCCAAGUGAUGGCCGAUAUUAUUGGGCCUAAAGCGUCCGUAGCUGGCCGGGCAAGUCCGUCGGGAAAUCCACGCGCUUAACGCGUGGGCGUCCGGCGGAAACUGUUCGGCUUGGGACCGGAAGAUCCGAGGGGUACGUCUGGGGUAGGAGUGAAAUCCCGUAAUCCUGGACGGACCACCGAUGGCGAAAGCACCUCGGAAGGACGGAUCCGACAGUGAGGGACGAAAGCUAGGGUCUCGAACCGGAUUAGAUACCCGGGUAGUCCUAGCUGUAAACGAUGCUCGCUAGGUGUGGCACAGGCUACGAGCCUGUGCUGUGCCGUAGGGAAGCCGUGAAGCGAGCCGCCUGGGAAGUACGUCCGCAAGGAUGAAACUUAAAGGAAUUGGCGGGGGAGCACUACAACCGGAGGAGCCUGCGGUUUAAUUGGACUCAACGCCGGU
rnacentral:rRNA from 1 species